rnacentral:misc_RNA from 1 species
CAAACCUCAAGCCUUGCUUGGUGAUGGGUCCCGCCCGCGUGGCGGGCCCGAAACUCGUGGGCGCCCCAGGCCGGACUCCAAGCGUAGCAAAACCCUCGCUUGUGGACGACCGGUCGGAGGCCGCCCCGGACCCCAAAUUUAUCAAU